AAACACAGAACAGUAUCAUCCAAUCUUUCUUUGGUUGAUGGCACCAAGUUGAAAUAUCCGAAUUUGGGUGUGAAUUCUUGAGAAUAGGGCAGCUUUUUCUCCUCUUGGAUUGUCUGAUUGUUCCUUGCUUUUCUUUAUUGAGUUCCUAGCUUGAAGAAGUAGUUUGUAAUGGUGGGUCUUGGCUGGAAUCUUGAUUUUUGGAAGGUUUUUCAAUUUUUUUUUUCUCUGCCAUUAUUCAGGGUCAUGACUCAUGAGGAGAGAAGA